CACGUAGGGCGCAAGCGUUGUCCGGAAUCAUUGGGCGUAAAGAGCGUGUAGGCGGCCCGGUAAGUCCGCUGUGAAAGUCGGGGGCUCAACCCUCGAAUGCCGGUGGAUACUGUCGGGCUAGAGUGCGGAAGAGGCGAGUGGAAUUCCCGGUGUAGCGGUGAAAUGCGCAGAUAUCAGGAAGAACACCAAUGGCGAAGGCAGCUCUCUGGGACGGUACUGACGCUGAGACGCGAAAGCGUGGGAGCGAACAGG
rnacentral:rRNA from 1 species